UGAGUAAUUUAGUUUUGGUUAUAGAAGGGUUUAUGCAGGGGUGCCACAUAGUGUUUUUAUAUGUUUAUCUUCUGUUUGAUUGCUAAUGUCUCAGGUUAAACUAGUGGUUAGAUUUUAUUUACUAUACGAGAGUAUGAGUGAGUUCCUGAAUAAGUGUGGGUGGUUAAUUCACAGUGCCAGCAGCUGCGGUUAUUCUGUUAGCCUUUCCUUCACGUCGGUUUAAAUGGUUUGUGAGUAAUUUAGAAUUUUGGGGGUAGAAUCUUUGCUUUCUCUUGCUAUUCUCUCACAAAUUCUACCGAAAGCUAUAGAAAGAAGAGGAUUAGAGACCCUGGUAUUGAGUUAUAGUUAUUUUGUGGCUUCAUAGUUUAAACUAAAAAAAUUUGGCAGCCGAUGAUUUCCCCCGGGGGAGCGUGCGGUGUAAGAGAUGAUCCACUUAUAUCUUUACCACCUCUAUUGUGGGUUAGUGUACGUCCGGUUUAAUACCUCUGAUUAGAGUCUUUAGGUGAAUUUCAGUUGAUUUAGGCCAGGUCGAUGUGCUGCUGAUGGGGUGCGUAUCUGUUCGCUACUUUGAUAAAAGAUGGUGGAGUGAAGACUCUCUAUGAAUUGAGGACUCGGGAGUAGGUGUAAGUGGGAAGAGAUACAUCGAAAUUUGAUUUAGUUGGGGUACACACCGCCCGUCAACCAGAAUAAUUAUUAGUUUUGGUAAGUCGUAACAUGGUAACGCUGGGGGAACCGGGCGUUAGUUAAUAGGGUGUUUAUUUUUCCUAUUAUAAAGCUUG
rnacentral:ncRNA from 1 species